rnacentral:rRNA from 1 species
GCAAGUCGAGCGCACCCUUCGGGGCGAGCGGCGGACGGGUUAGUAACGCGUGGGUACAUACCCUUUUCUACGGAGUAGCCUCGUGAAACUGAGAGUAAUACCGUAUACGCCCUUCGGGGGAAAGAUUUAUCGGAAAAGGAUUGGCCCGCGUAAGAUUAGAUAGUUGGUAGGGUAAUGGCCUACCAAGUCUACGAUCUUUAGCUGGUUUGAGAGGAUGAUC